UACAGAGGUCCCAAGCGUUGUUCGGAUUCAUUGGGCGUAAAGGGUGUGUAGGUGGCGCCGUAAGUCGGGUGUGAAAUUUCGGAGCUUAACUCCGAAACUGCAUUCGAUACUGCGGUGCUUGAGGACUGGAGAGGAGACUGGAAUUCAUGGUGUAGCAGUGAAAUGCGUAGAGAUCAUGAGGAAGACCAGUGGCGAAGGCGGGUCUCUGGACAUUUCCUGACGCUGAGGCACGAAAGCCAGGGGAGCAAACGGG
rnacentral:rRNA from 1 species